GAGCUGGUGGAAAGGCUAUCAUGGGAUUCUAUUUACUAUAGAAGGUUUUAUUGAAAACUACAGCUGGAGAUAUUGACAUAGAGUUGUGGUCCAAAGAAGCUCCUAAAGCUUGCAGAAAUUUUAUCCAACUUUGUUUGGAAGCUUAUUAUGACAAUACCAUUUUUCAUAGAGUUGUGCCUGGUUUCAUAGUCCAAGGCGGAGAUCCUACUGGCACAGGGAGUGGUGGAGAGUCUAUCUAUGGAGCGCCAUUCAAAGAUGAAUUUCAUUCACGGUUGCGUUUUAAUCGGAGAGGACUGGUUGCCAUGGCAAAUGCUGGUUCUCAUGAUAAUGGCAGCCAGUUUUUCUUCACACUGGGUCGAGCAGAUGAACUUAACAAUAAGCAUACCAUCUUUGGAAAGGUUACAGGGGAUACAGUAUAUAACAUGUUGCGACUGUCAGAAGUAGACAUUGAUGAUGACGAAAGACCACAUAAUCCACACAAAAUAAAAAGCUGUGAGGUUUUGUUUAAUCCUUUUGAUGACAUCAUUCCAAGGGAAAUUAAAAGGCCGAAAAAAGAGAAACCAGAGGAGGAAGUAAAGAAAUUGAAACCCAAAGGCACAAAAAAUUUUAGCUUACUUUCAUUUGGAGAGGAAGCUGAGGAAGAAGAGGAGGAAGUAAAUCGAGUUAGUCAG
rnacentral:sRNA from 1 species